AACGAACGCUGGCGGCAGGCUUAACACAUGCAAGUCGAACGCCCCGCAAGGGGAGUGGCAGACGGGUGAGUAACGCGUGGGAACAUCACCCUUUCUACGGAAUAGCUCUGGGAAACUAGAAUUAAUACCGUCUACGCCCUACGGGGGAAAGAUUUAUCGGGGAAGGAUUGGCUCGCGUUGGAUGAGCAAGUUGGUGGGGUAAAGGCCUACCAAGGCGACGAUCCAUAGCUGGUCUGAGAGGAUGAUCAGCCACAUUGGGACUGAGACACGGCCCAAACUCCUACGGGAGGCAGCAGUGGGGAAUAUUGGACAAUGGGCGCAAGCCUGAUCCAGCCAUGCCGCGUGAGUGAUGAAGGCCUUAGGGUUGUAAAGCUCUUUCACCGAUGAAGAUAAUGACGGUAGUCGGAGAAGAAGCCCCGGCUAACUUCGUGCCAGCCGCCGCAGUAACAC
rnacentral:rRNA from 1 species